rnacentral:rRNA from 1 species
UACGUAGGUGGCAAGCGUUGUCCGGAAUUAUUGGGCGUAAAGCGCACGUAGGCGGACAUUUAAGUCAGGGGUGAAAUCCCGGGGCUCAACCUCGGAACUGCCUUUGAUACUGGGUGUCUUGAGUAUGGAAGAGGUAAGUGGAAUUGCGAGUGUAGAGGUGAAAUUCGUAGAUAUUCGCAGGAACACCAGUGGCGAAGGCGGCUUACUGGUCCAUUACUGACGCUGAGGUGCGAAAGCGUGGGGAGCAAACAGG